UACGGAGGGAGCUAGCGUUGUUCGGAAUUACUGGGCGUAAAGCGCGCGUAGGUGGCUUCAUAAGUCCGUUGUGAAAGUCAAAGGCUCAACCUUUGAAAGCCGAUGGAUACUGUGAAGCUAGAGUACGGAAGAGGCGAGUGGAAUUCCUGGUGUAGCGGUGGAAUGCGCAGAUAUCAGGAGGAACACCAAUAGCGAAGGCAGCUCGCUGGGACGUUACUGACACUGAGGCGCGAAAGCGUGGGGAGCGAACAGG
rnacentral:rRNA from 1 species